UUUGGAGACUUCGCUGUCAAUUUUGAUACAACCGUCAUACACUGGUAUCAACAGAAGGUGAACAAAGCUCCAGAGAGGAUGCUCCAUUUUCAAAGGCAAAACCAGAAACUGUGCUUUCUUACAGUAAAGAAUGUCACUGUAGAUGACACCGCUACCUACUAUUGUGCCUACUGGUACAUUCACCCCAGUAGAACCUCAGAGAUCACCUAG